rnacentral:rRNA from 1 species
UACGUAGGUGGCAAGCGUUGUCCGGAUUUACUGGGCGUAAAGGGCGCGUAGGCGGCCACGCACGUCCGUUGUGAAAUCGCUCGGCUCAACUGGGCGGGGUCAGCGGAUACGGUGUGGCUAGAGCAAGCUAGGGGGCAAUGGAAUUCCCGGUGUAGUGGUGGAAUGCGUAGAUAUCGGGAGGAACACCAGUGGCGAAGGCGGUUGCCUGGAGCUUUGCUGACGCUGAUGCGCGAAAGCGUGGGGAGCGAUCCGG